rnacentral:ncRNA from 1 species
AAGGAAGUCGCCGAAAAUCCUAUCAAAGAGUAGGCA